AUACGGAGGAUCCGAGCGUUAUCCGGAUUUAUUGGGUUUAAAGGGUGCGCAGGCGGUCAUUUAAGUCAGCGGUUAAAUCGUGGGGCUCAACCCCAUUCUGCCGUUGAUACUGGGUGGCUUGAUUGCGGUCGAGGUUGGCGGAAUUCGUUGUGUAGCGGGGAAAUGCAUAGAUAUGACGAAGAACACCGAUUGCGUAGGCAGCUGACCAGAUCGCAAAUGACGCUCAUGCACGAAAGUGCGGGGAUCGAACAGGAUUAGAUACCCUGGUAGUCCGCACAGUAAACGAUGAAUACUUGUUUUCGGCGAUAUAAUGUCGGAGGCAAAGCGAAAGCGAUAAGUAUUCCACCUGGGGAGUACGCCGGCAACGGUGAAACUCAAAUGAAUUGACGGGG
rnacentral:rRNA from 1 species